GACAGAGGAUGCAAGCGUUAUCCGGAAUGAUUGGGCGUAAAGCGUCUGUAGGUGGCUUUUUAAGUCCGCCGUCAAAUCCCAGGGCUCAACCCUGGACAGGCGGUGGAAACUACCAAGCUGGAGUACGGUAGGGGCAGAGGGAAUCUCCGGUGGAGCGGUGAAAUGCGCAGAUAUCAGGAGGAACACCGGUGGCGAAGGCGGGUCUCUGGGCCGUAAGCUGACGCUGAGGAGCGAAAGCGUGGGUAGCAAACAGG
rnacentral:rRNA from 1 species